rnacentral:lncRNA from 1 species
CCCCUCUCCUACACCAUCUGUACCCCUCCUUAUUGGAUUUCCGGGUUCUCUCCCCGCCCCUCACACCUGUUUGGAAACACCGCCCGGCGCCCCAGCCUCACCCCUCCGCCUGGGUAGGGCGGAGAACAGACGGCCCCUGUGUUUGGGGAUAAUCAUCACAUAGCUUACAUGCCUGCUCCUCUCCCUCUCCUUUUCUUUUUCCUCUCCUGCGUGACCCUUCUGCCAACUUACCUCCGCCAAGCAUGCAACACCUCCCCCACACUGGCCCCCAACCCAGCUCACCCCCGCCUACAUCUGCCCUGUUAUACAUCAGCCUCCUGACAGGCUCACUCAGCGCCCACAAUGCUCUGCUCUCAUUCUUUUCACCUUUUCGUCUUCAGCUUUCGUCAAAUGCAGCUGUCAACUGUGACGCCAUCGUCUGGGACGAGGGCUCUUUCCAGGAAGUGAGAAUUAGCAGGACAAGCUUGACAUUUCGGGAGACGUGCUCAUUUGCUCCUGGAGACAGUCGACUUUCUCAAGAGAGGUUCCCAGCACCUUCAGAUGACUGGAGCUUCAGGAGCAGCUGGUUCUGAUGGUCUAGACUCCAGACACAUAGGUAAUUCUCUACCAGUACUACCUCCACGAGCGACCGGUAGAUCGCGAUCGCCGUAAUGAGCCCCCCUGGUCUAGAGAGGUUUAAGGCAGCAGGAAGACGCCCAGGCAAUAUGAAGUGAGCUGAAAUAAUGUGGCCACAAACAAUUUCCUUUUAAAGAAAUGAAUCAAAAAAGACCAAAUGGUGUUUUUCGAGGCUUGGGAACACAUAUUCCAGCACUCUGAUGUUCUGAUGAAGCGAUUAAAAAGAUCUAUAAAGAG